CCGGACAUAAAAGACAGGCGGACCCACUGUUUCGUUCACUUCCUUCUCUGGUCUGAACGAGAUGAACGAUCCAGACACCAUGUGCCUUAAAAGCUCAAGAAAAAGAGCAUGGCAGGACUCUACAGAAUCUUGGGUCAGUCGGCAGUGCUCCUUCACAUGACUCGGUACCUGGAAAUCACACCAAGGAGAUGAACUGGAUGUUUGAGGAAGAACACAUCCCCCUCCAUAUCUUAAGAUGGCCUUUGUGAUUGGGUUCUUGGAAGACAUGUGACCAUUCAUGUCAUAAAGAUGAGUCCAAGACUGCUUCAGCAACACAACCGAGAACCUAUUUGAAGGUUCAGAACAUUAUGGGAACAUGGUCGGUCUCCAUAGCCGCUAACUCGGUUGCUGGGUGCUAAACGGUGCAAAUGUCACUGGGAUUGAUGGUGAUCCAAAUAAGGUUUGGACACAGGCCAGCAGCUGAGCUGCAGGUAAAGGAGCCAAAGAUGUCUACAGUUGAAAGAUGCUCAGCAUGCCAAUGCCAUUCUCAAUAAUGUGGCACUGUCAAAUUUCACCAUGUUGGAAAAUUUCAAGAAACUGCCACUAAUUCUGGACAGAACUUUGCUGUGAAGGACAUCACCUGGUUUUCUGCCAUCAAGCUUUACUUUCAACUGUUGGUUCACAAAACCUUUGUUUUAAAGUGUGAACUACAGCCAGCAUUUGACAUUAAACGUUUUUGAAAAUGAAAAAUAA